rnacentral:rRNA from 1 species
AGAACGAACGCUGGCGGCAGGCUUAACACAUGCAAGUCGAACGCCCCGCAAGGGGAGUGGCAGACGGGUGAGUAACGCGUGGGAACAUACCCCUCGGUUCGGAAUAACUCAGGGAAACUUGAGCUAAUACCGAAUACGGUCGAGAGGCGAAAGAUUUAUCGCCGAGGGAUUGGCCCGCGUCCGAUUAGCUAGUUGGUGAGGUAAUGGCUCACCAAGGCGACGAUCGGUAGCUGGUCUGAGAGGAUGAUCAGCCACAUUGGGACUGAGACACGGCCCAAACUCCUACGGGAGGCAGCAGUGGGGAAUAUUGGACAAUGGGCGAAAGCCUGAUCCAGCCAUGCCGCGUGAGUGAUGACGGCCUUAGGGUUGUAAAGCUCUUUCAUCAGGGACGAUAAUGACGGUACCUGAAGAGAAGCCCGGCUAACUCGUGCCAGCAGCCGC